ncrna:Acinetobacter sp. CIP-A165 NMT1 RNA
UUACUGAGUAUAAGCGGUCAGUGUGUACUUUCACACGGGACAUUGCUCUACAG